rnacentral:rRNA from 1 species
ACGGAAGGCAGCAGUGGGGAAUAUUGCACAAUGGGGGAAACCCUGAUGCAGCGACGCCGCGUGAGUGAAGAAGUAUUUCGGUAUGUAAAGCUCUAUCAGCAGGAAAGAAAAUGACGGUACCUGACUAAGAAGCCCCGGCUAACUACGUGCCAGCAGCCGCGGUAAUACGUAGGGGGCAAGCGUUAUCCGGAUUUACUGGGUGUAAAGGGAGCGUAGACGGUCUAGCAAGUCUGAUGUGAAAGGCAGGGGCUCAACUCCUGGACUGCAUUGGAAACUGUUAGUCUUGAGUGUCGGAGAGGUAAGCGGAAUUCCUAGUGUAGCGGUGAAAUGCGUAGAUAUUAGGAGGAACACCAGUGGCGAAGGCGGCUUACUGGACGAUAACUGACGUUGAGGCUCGAAAGCGUGGGGAGCAAACAGGAUUAGAUACCCUGGUA